rnacentral:rRNA from 1 species
CCCAUAGAACAGGCCAUCGCCGGCCACAUACCUGCUCUGCCCCUCCGUCUUUGUCUCUCUUCCCCAAACCCGACGGUGGCACUGGUUUCUCUCCGGUGAGAAUCUCCCUAGCCCCUUGCCCUACCCACAUACCCCGUGACCGUGGGAAAGUUGUCACCACACACCGGCUCUGCCGCUAGGUCUCUAUCUCUCUCCCCAACCUCGAUGGCGCCAAGUUUCCUCUCUGGCGACAUGUGCUCCUUUGGUGUUGAGUGCCACGGUUGCGUCUUCUUAUGGCUCGCCGGUCAUGGCCGCGUUUAGAUCCGCGUGAUUGUGUCCCGUUCUAUGGAUUUGAGUUCUCUUGACUCACCACCCACUUCUCUGCAGGAUCCGUGUAGGGACGCCUGAGUUGAUUCCCGAUGUCUUCUCCGUGGACUCUUAGGAUUCCAUGAGCAUCGCUGAUAGCCAGCUGGCCGGCGGAGGUGAGGGCACACAGCUUUGCGGGGACGCCGACUUAGGUUUGCUCAGAAGCCACCGGUGACUGGAUCAUGAGGUAAUUAUACAAAACUAAAACUCUCUCAUGUACCAUAAUAAGUAGUUUGGUUUCCCAGAUAAUGCUAGACGCUCCUGUUUCUGAGACGCAAACUUCUUGGCAAGAACCAAUCAUCUCAUCUAGUUUCAGUGUGAUAAAUGCUACUGUUAAUGUGCAUAGAUUUCAGUAUGGAAUUCUGCGGUGAGGGUUGGAGAUUGUUGUUUUGGUUGGCAUUUCAGUUGUGGAAUUUGUCAACACCCGAGAACAUUAUUAUUUGUCUGAUUUUUUUUGUCGCUGCUGGUAAUUUUGAGAUCUAUAUUUCACUACUAGGGAAAAGCUUAUAGACAGGCGCUUACUAGUAGUGCGGGUUUAUACCCCUCACUGCUGCUACUUACUAGUAGCGCGGUUUUUUACCCCUCGCUGCUACUAAGUUGAUAGUAGUAGCGCGGGUUUUUAACCCGCGCUACUACUAAGCAGUCUCUACCGUGCCCCCCGGACAUGCCAUAGUAGUAGCGAGGGAUAUGAAACCGCGCUACUACUAAGUUGAUAGUAGUAGCGCGGGUUUAUACCCCUCGCUACUACUAAGUACAAGGUAGGUGAAUUCUCCAUAUCCUCGGUCGAGUCCCUCCUCUCUCCCUCACUCUCCCCCCUCUCUCCAUAGGCUCUCCCAUUCCGCUUCUCCCUCCCAUCCGCGAUUCCCUUCCUCAUCCACCACCACCGCCGGCCUCGCACCUCAUGCCUCCCCCAAAUCAGGCGACCUCCACACCCACCGCAGCCCCCUCCCCCUCCUUCCUCCUCCUUCUCUGAUGUUGGAAGGAGAGGCAGAUCCAGCAGAGCGCCAUCCAUGGCGGAGGCCAGAUUCGCCAUGGACACAACCACACGUGAGUUGUUCUUCCUACUCCUCUCUCUCUCUCUCUCUCUCUCUCUCUCUCUCUCUCUCUCUCUCUCUCUCUCUCUUCAUCUUCCAGAUCGAGCAGAGCGCCAUCCAUGGCGUCAUCUAGGGUUUCGGCUCCAACUCCGGUGACCACCGGUGAGUUGCUGCACCUACUCCUCUCUAUCUCUCUCUUCCUCUUCUAAUCCUUGUCUCUUUUUUUGUAGCAGCAACAAAGGAGAGGUGUAUCACCAUGGACGACUCUAUCCCCCCUAGGAUCAGCAUCGACCAUGGAUGAAGAGGAUGAUGAUGCCUAGCUAGCAGAAGCAGCCAUGGCUGGAAUUUAUUUUUUUAAUUCCUAAUUAGUUAGCAGUAGCGAGGCUACAGACCCACGCUACUACUAGUUAGUAGUAGCGCGGGUGGUAUCCACGCAACUACUAACGGAUGUAGUAGUAGCGCGGGUGGCACCCGCGCUACUACUACCAGUUAGCUGUAGCGCCGUAUCAGUAGCGCGGGCACCCGCGCUACUAAUGUACCUAAAACCCGCCCUACUGCUAGGCUUUUCCCUAGUAGUGUUUAGUCUGAAAAAAUCUAGUGUUGAUGUGGAUAGAUUGAAUUCACUAAGAAAAUCAUAUGUUGAUGGGCAAAGAUUGUGUUUUUGGUUGGUAUUUCAAUUGUGGGAUUUGUACAUGGCAGUGGGAUUUUUACCUUUGAGUAAUUUUCACUCAUUUAAAUUUUUUGUUUCAUAUGUAGCUAGCUUCAUAAUUUUUUAGUCCCAUGAUAUCUGAGCUGCAACCGAGGAUAAAUAUCCAUGUGACUAUCUAGCUUUGAGUAAUGAAUUGAACAUUUGCUUGGGUGUUCAUCAAUUGUGUUGUAUAGUUAAUAUCUAUGAUUUGGAAAUGCAUAUGUAAUUUGAGUAAUUAACUGAACAUUUCUAGCCUUUGAUUAAUUAAACCAAAAGCAUCUGGUUCUUGUUUUAAAUUUCUUUUGUAAAACAAAGUUUCACCCACACUUGAUGUUUAAAGCUUUGUUUGCAAGUGAACCUCUGAAAACCUAAAUAAUGCUAUGUAAGAAUGGAUAAGAAAAUCGUGCGUGGCGCCUAAUUAGUCCCAAUAACUAACAACCUGGCUUGUAUUGUGCAUUCGGUAGGCAAAUGUUGUUAAAGAUAGCUAUAUGUUGUGUAAACAAAUGGUCAGUUACAAAUUGAAAAUGUACAAAUAUCAACAUGAUGCGAGUACCAUGUAUUUUUGUCAAAUUCUUAGUUCAUGAUGCAUGUGUAGUUCUUCGCGAUUUACUACAACAAUGGCUCCUAUACUAUUUAGAAGCUGGAAAUUUUCAUUGUUAUCAAGAGCAUGCUUCCUUUUAUUUUUAGUAAUUCAUAUGCCCGAAUUUGUGUCCAACAAACUUCAUGCUGCUCUUUUCAAUUGCUUGAGCAACUUAUUCAGUUCUUGGCAUUUCCAAUCUAGCGACUGGGCCAAGACUUCUCCAAUCAUAAUGAUGGAGAAAAUCGAGAAGUUAACCUUCUGAUUGCAUCAGCUAUACAUACAAAGUUUCUUUGUUCUAACUACUUCUGCAUUAUCAUUCUCAGGGAUUGAAAGCACAAGUGCUCCCUGGGUGAUUUUGGUAAUUAAUGUCAACAUAUCUCUUGUUGGACUAAUACUUUUAUCUAGCAUAUUUCGGAUGAGUUCAACAGUGGAGUGGCAUGGACAAGAGGAUGUGGAACCCCUUCAAGAUGCUAAGGACAGAAGAUUGGCAAAAGCUCAAAGCUCAAGACUCUACAUUUUCUAUUUUAGUGAUCCAAGAUCACAUUGAGUCCAUAGGAAAAGCCAAUACUAUUAAAAGGGGAUGAGGUGUUGCUUAAUGGCUUGCUUGCUCAAAGUGCUUAGUGAUAUGCUCCAAAGCUCUCAACCACUUUCUCAAUUCCACAUAUGUCCUGAACCUAAAGUCAAACUCGGCCCCACCGAUAUGAUCUAUUCGGCGCCACCGAGUUCACUUGACAUAGCCACUGCCAGAAACCCUAAUCAGUUCGGUCUCACCGAUGGGAUCUCGGUCUCAUCGAGAUGGGCUUGCAAACUCUCUGUUGCCUGUUGCAACUAUUUCGGUCUCACUGAGAUAUGCAAUCGGUCCCACCGAGUUUUCUUGACCAACUCUCUGUUUUGCUUAUUACCAAAAUCGAUCUCACCGAGUUUGUGUAAUCGGUCAAACUGAGUUGAGGUUUUACCCUAACCCUAGCCCAUUGGUCCCACCGAAAACUUUAACGUUCACA